CCUGCGGAAUAGCUCCGGGAAACUGGAAUUAAUACCGCAUACGCCCUACGGGGGAAAGAUUUAUCGGGGAAGGAUGGGCCCGCGUUGGAUUAGCUAGUUGGUGGGGUAAAGGCCUACCAAGGCGACGAUCCAUAGCUGGUCUGAGAGGAUGAUCAGCCACAUUGGGACUGAGACACGGCCCAAACUCCUACGGGAGGCAGCAGUGGGGAAUAUUGGACAAUGGGCGCAAGCCUGAUCCAGCCAUGCCGCGUGAGUGAUGAAGGCCUUAGGGUUGUAAAGCUCUUUCACCGGAGAAGAUAAUGACGGUAUCCGGAGAAGAAGCCCCGGCUAACUUCGUGCCAGCAGCCGCGGUAAUACGAAGGGGGCUAGCGUUGUUCGGAAUUACUGGGCGUAAAGCGCACGUAGGCGGAUAUUUAAGUCAGGGGUGAAAUCCCAGAGCUCAACUCUGGAACUGCCUUUGAUACUGGGUAUCUUGAGUAUGGAAGAGGUAAGUGGAAUUCCGAGUGUAGAGGUGAAAUUCGUAGAUAUUCGGAGGAACACCAGUGGCGAAGGCGGCUUACUGCUCCAUUACUGACGCUGAGGUGCGAAAGCGUGGGGAGCAAACAGGAUUAGAUACCCUGUUAGUCCACGCCGUAAACGAUGAAUGUUAGCCGUCGGGCAGUAUACUGUUCGGUGGCGCAGCUAACGCAUUAAACAUUCCGCCUGGGAGUACGGUCGCAAGAUUAAAACUCAAAGGAAUUGACGGGGGCCGCACAAGCGGUGGAGCAUGUGCUUUAAUUCGAAGCAACGCGCAGAACCUUAACAGCUCUUGACAUUCGGGGUUUGGGCAGUGGAGACAUUGUCCUUCAGUUAGGCU
rnacentral:rRNA from 1 species